rnacentral:rRNA from 1 species
CCUACGGGAGGCAGCAGUGAGGAAGAUUGGUCAAUGGGCGCGAGCCUGAACCAGCCAAGUAGCGUGAAGGAUGAGUGCCCUACGGGUUGUAAACUUCGUUUAUAAAGGAAUAAAGUGAGGCACGUGUGCCUUUUUGUAUGUACGUUAUGAAUAAGGAUCGGCUAACUCCGUGCCAGCAGCCGCGGUAAUACGGAGGAUCCGAGCGUUAUCCGGAUUUAGUGGGGUGAAAGGGAGCGUAGAGGGGUUGUUAAGUCAGUUGUGAAAGUUUGCGGCUCAACCGUAAAAUUGCAAUUGAUACUGGCAGCCUUGCGUACAGUUGCGGUCGGCGGAAUUCGUGGUGUAGCGG